CUCGCUGGCAGUCUUUAAAGUUCCUAAUUCAGACAAGGCCAGAGAAAACACAUCAUCAUAUGUGAGGGUCUUCGGGAAAGCCUCGGCACAACGUCCGGUGCCUAACGUCCUAGAAGAACUUCCUAAAGACCAAUUCAGGCCGCAUUCUUUGAUCUCGUUCAUGGAAAGAAGGGUGAUGUUAAAAUCCACUCUCCUAAUACUCGUCAGCGCCUCGAGGUCGUUAGGACGAAAAUAAAGCUUCCAACUCCAAGA